rnacentral:rRNA from 1 species
UACGGAGGGGGCAAGCGUUGUUCGGAAUUACUGGGCGUAAAGGGCGCGCAGGCGGCUGCUCAAGUCAGGCGUGAAAGGCCUGGGCUCAACCCGGGAAUUGCGCUUGAGACUGGGCUGGCUUGAGUGCGGGAGAGGAUGGUGGAAUUCCCAGUGUAGAGGUGAAAUUCGUAGAUAUUGGGAAGAACACCGGUGGCGAAGGCGGCACUCUGGGCCGGUACUGACGCUGAGGAGCGAAAGCGUGGGGAGCGAACAGG